AACAUUGGAAGUCAGUUUUGAAAAGCAAAUUGAAAUCGAGAGUAACUUAAUGUUUAAGUUGCCUGUUUAAAAAAUAGAAACAUGCGAAUCUUCUCAUUUCAUCUGAAUAUCCUGAGUCUGCAAUCACGGCUUCAAUUUGUGAAUUGCAGAAUAAUUUGAUGCACUAUCAAGUGUAUAUAAGAUAUCUAUGGUUUUGAACUGCCAGUCUUUGGCAGGUUGUCAAUGAUCGUUGAACCGUACGGUAUGGCAGUCUUGUUAUUUUUUUUUCUGUUUAAUUUUCGAAGGUUCUUUGAUCCAGGUGCAUGGCAGUAUAAACUUAGUAUAACAAUAGGCAAUAAUUCCAUUGCCUUUCAUUUUUUUGAAAAUCCCAGUGUCCUCGAUGCUACCAAAUCUGAAUAUAUUCUAUAUUCAGUCGCAUUGUUCGGUCAGUGUUAUAUAAAGUGAAUUUAAGGAAUUAUUAUUAUUAAUUCUUAAAAUUGUAGAGUAACUUAGUUUUUUCAAAAUUUGUUUUUCAUUGAUAAAACAGUGCAUAUUGACUUCAUAUACAUCAGACAUUGUAUCUAUCCAGUGUUAUAUUGAGAUCAUCAAACAACAAUACGUUUGCAUGGUCCAAUGUGAUAUUGAGAUCAUCGAACAACAAUAUAUUGCAUGGUCCUGUGUUAUAUUGAGGUCAUCGAACAAUACGUUGCAUGAUUCAGUGUUAUAUUGAGAUCAUCGAACAAUACAUUGCAUCGUCCAGUGUUAUAUUGAGAUCAUCGAACAUUAUAUUGCAUGGCCAGUGUUACAUUGAGGUUAUCAAUCAACAUUAUGUUGCAUAAUCCAGUGUUAUAUUAAGAUCAUCAAACAAUACAUUGCAUGGUCCAGUGUUAGUAUUGAGGUAAUCGAACAUUAUAGUGCAUGGUCCAGUGUUAUAUUGAGGUCAUCAAUCAACAUUAUGUUGCAUAAUCCAGUGCUGUAUUGAGAUCAGCAAACAAUAUAUUGCAUAAUCCAGUGUUUUAUUGAGAUAAGUGUUAUGUCUCGAAACCAUGGAGAAGGUCAUUGUGCUCGGUGUGCAGCCAACAAGCAGCAAAGUCUAGUUAUAAUGUUGGGGUCAGACCCCUUCCCCUUAUGAGCGAAAUUUUUAUCUAGAUAUGCCUGGCCAAAAAUUUCAUCACAGCUUGAAAGAGCAUCGCAAAAUUAGUAAUAUUCCGAUCGAAGUUUCGUUGCGAAAUGUUGUAAAAUGCAGAUAAUAUAGCCUUGCGAAUUUUGCCGUUUUUCAGUCAUUUUGUAUUACAAAUGGGAAAUUGGUAAUCAGUUCGAUCAUCUGAUUAUCAAUUUCCCGUUUGUAAUGCAAAAUGACUGAAAAACGGCAAAC